ACUAAACAAAAGUUACAAAGUGAACUUGCAGUGCUUCCCUUAAGGGAGAUGUAGUUACAAUUCCAGCGCACUGGUCCACUCUCUCUCUCUCUCUCUUGGUGGUGUGAGACUUUCUACAACAGAAUGUCUAAAUGCCAUGAACGUCCCAUCACUGAACCAGGAGCCAUUAUCAAGAGGACUCUAAGGGAAGCCUCCUUCCAAUGAAUAUUCGGAAUGAUGUUUUCAUUUAUUAGGUUGAAGCAGUUGGUGUGCUUUAGAAAAUGAUUAUAGAGCAUUGGGUCUGGCAGCUCUGUAGAAAAACACGGAAGCAGCUGAAAGUGUUCCUCCCUCUGCUUGUAUGCUUCUGGAAGCCAUCAGAGGCCAUCCGUCAAACCAACCUGGCCUGUCUUCUGUUCUGUCACACAGGGCUGGAGCAUGUGGGCAGAAUUAAGGUGCCAGGUGAGAGGAAAAUAAGUACUGGUAUACAAAGACAAAAGGACUUCCAUCCUGUUUAUUCCAUUAAGUCUUGACAUUUAUUUUUUAGACAUAUGCCAUG
rnacentral:lncRNA from 1 species